rnacentral:rRNA from 1 species
CCCUUAGAUGUUCUGGGCCGCACGCGCGCUACACUGAUGCAUUCAACGAGUCUAAAACCUGGUCUGAUAGGGCUGGGUAAUCUUUUGAAUGUGCAUCGUGAUUGGGAUAGAUGAUUGCAAUUCUUCAUCUUCAACGAGGAAUGCCUAGUAAACGCAAGUCAUUAGCUUGCAUUGAUUACGUCCCUGCCCUUUGUACACACCGCCCGUCGCUCCUACCGAUUGAAUGUUCCGAUGAAUACCAUGGACUGAGAGUAUGAAUGGGUUCGCCUAUUUCUGCUUCUCGGGAAGUGGAGUAAAUCUUAACAUUUAGAGGAAGGAGAAGUCGUAACA